AUGAUCUUACACGACCUUUGGUGUGUUUUGGUUUGCUUCCACGACCUUGAUGUGUUUGGUCUUCCAGGCUUCCGUCCAAGCCACACAUAUCAUCCUGUUAGUGUGUUAUCACAUCAGCGGCCAGCGGUAACUGAUGGAGCUUUUGGUCCUGGAGCCGUGACUAGACCACCUAUCACACCUGUUCCUCCAGCUAAUGUUUUUGGUCUUGGAGCCGUGACAAGACCACGACCAUUUAUGACACCAGUUCCUCCAGCUAAUGUUUUUGGUCCUGGAGCCGUGACUAGACCACCUAUCGCAUUUGUUCCUCCCGCUAAUGUUUUUGGUCCUGGAGCCAUGGCUAGACCACCUAUCGCACUUGUUCCCCCAGCUAAUGUUUUUGGUCCUGGAGCCGUGGCUAGACCACCCAUCGCGCCUGUUCCUUCAGCUAACGUUUUUGGUCCUGGAGCUGUGACUAGACCACCUAUCACGCCUGUUCCUCCAGCUAACGUUUUUGGUCAUGGAGCUGUGACUAGACCACCUAUUGCGCCUGCUCCUCCAGCUAACGUCUUUGGUCAUGGAGCCGUGACUAGACCACCUAUGACACCUGUUCCUCCAGCUACUGAUUUUGGUCCUGGAGCUGUGACUAGACCUCAUAUCGCACCUGUUCCACCAGUUAAUGAGCCACAGUUUAAAGUAUAUGUUGGCAAGAUUGCAUCAACAGUGGACAAUGAUUUUGUUCUUUCUCUUCUUCAGGUCUGUGGAAUUGUAAAAAGUUGGAAUCCAGUCAUAAAUCCAAUUGAUGGAACUCCUACUGGGUUUGGCUUUUGUGAUUUUGAAUCUGCCGAAGGCAGUCUUCGUGCAUGGCGGCUGCUCAACAAACUAAGAAUUGAUGGUCAAGAGCUGUUGGUUAAUGUCAAUGAAGCCACGAGACAGCACCUUCAGAAAUACUGUGAGAAUACUACAGAAGAGAAGGCCAAUGAAAUUGAUAUGGCUGCUAUGCAAACGAUACACAGUAUGGUUGAAGAGAGAAUGAGGUGUAAAUUUCUGGGUUCACCAAUUCAGUCUGUUCAGGCAUCUACAAGCAUCAGUGAUGAGAAAGGUGAUGGUCAUACAAGGAGUGGUGCACUGGAGGAAAGGACAAGCAAGAGACAACGUGAAAAAGAGGAACAUUUAGGGGAAAGUAAAGUUGUUUGUUUGCAAGGUUGGAAAGAUAAAGAAGUGAUUUCAGCUGGAAAGCCUUCUCUGCAAAUUGAUGCGAUAUCAUCAAUGUAUGUUCCCAUGGAGCCUGAAUCUACAAUUGAACACGAGAGGAAACGUCAGCGCAGGGAAAUAGAUGGGUUUCAUAAGAGCAAUGGUGAAGGGCAUUGUAUCUCUACCAGUGCUAGUCUCAGAUAA
rnacentral:rRNA from 1 species